AACAAAAACCAAGUUUCUAGUACAAAAUACCAAUAUUGACCUGAUCAUCUUUAAAAGCUUCUCUUAUUACUACUAUUUCCCUCCUUUCUUCACUGAAUGGGAUGCCAACUAGGGAAGGAAAGAAGAAGAGAAAUGAAAAAAUCAGACCAAAUUUCUUUAACUUUCACUCUUCCAACCAUAAUCUUAAACUCCAUUCUGUUUGUGUCUUUCUACACUCUCAUAAUUCUUAUGUUUCUUUCAGGAAGAAGUAAAGAAGUGAAGAGUUUCAUGUUCAGUGGCCUUUCUAAUCCCUCCUUUGCCUUCGAUGCCUUUGUUGUAUUAGUUGCCUUUGCUUUCUCCGGUGCUUUGGGUGCACUUUUGAUUCCUCAUAGACCUAAUUUAGCCAUCUUUUAUGCCUUGUAUUCUGUGGCUUCCACUGCUUCUGCUUUGCUUUUGUUGAUUUUGGGGAUGUAUUUCUCAUUCACACAUGGCAAAGUCCAAUAGAACUUUAUUAUGAUUUGUUUCUACUUCUUCUCAUGUCAAUGUUCUUUAAUAUGAAUCUAAGUAUUGAUCUCAAUGUGAUGUUAUCAAAUAAGAAUGUGAAGCAAGAAUAUUUUGCAAACUAAAUCAUGGAUUAUUGCCCAACUCUCUUGUACUUUAGAGCCAUGUCUUUAGCUCAAUUUCUAUAUGUAAUGUUUUUUUAUUCGAUUAAGACCUACAAAGUUUCGAUAAUAUUGAUCUCUUGAGUUGUCUCAAAUGACAAGAUCUUCACGUUAACAAUCACAAAAUACUCAAAUAUAUUGGUCGAUAACAAUUCAAGAGUCAGGGGAGGUAGUAAGUAGAGGCUUGAAAAUCCUUCUUUCGUUUACCAAAUGGCUGCACAAUCAUGUAAACGAUGCACCACGAACUAAACGAUAGUUCAAUUAAGUAAAUGAUUGGACGAAGCAUUAGAUGAUUGUAUAGACGACAGUUGACUGAAGCUAGACGAUCGUGUAGACGAUAGCUGAGGAGUUAAACGAUCGUAUAGGCGAUUGAUCGCGGAGCUAAACGAUCGAGUACAUGAUCGUAUAAACGAUACUUUAGCAAAAUCUAAACGAUUGUAAAGGUAAGAAGAAAAGACACAGGAGUUUAAAUGGUUCGGCCAAAGGCCUACGUCCAUUGUGCAAAUUGGGAGGUUCUCUUUUAUUACUCUUCAAAGUGUUACAGAACAAAUGUUUUGCUCUCUCGUUUUCUAAUUCACUCUUACAUUAAUCUCGCAUUUGAUUUCCUUUAUAUAGGUGCAGGCGAUUCAAUCAACGGUGAAGAUCUGGUGUUUACAACACUUAACAGAAAGAGGUCAACAACAGUUCAACUACUAGCUGCGAUGUUCUUCUUCUUGAUUUCGAGUCUUUCUGUAACAAUCUCCACCUUUGUAACUCCAGAAGGUCCAAGCAUUUGACAAACUUGUUUAAUGGAACAAUUUUGGUUAGCAUAUCAGCUGCAUUAUCAGAGGCGAUUCCCAACGAUGAAGCUCUAGUGGUUACAACACUUAACAAAAAGAGGUCGACAACGGUUCAACUGCCAGUAAAUCGAACCCGAGAAGGUCCAAGCAUCUGCCAAGCUUGUUUAAUGGAACAAUUUUGGUUAGCAUAUCAGCUGCACAUUUUAUUGUUGCCUUUACCAUUAUCAUUAUUGUUUGACCCUAACGGUAAUUAGAGAUGUCCAAAAAACCCAUGGGGUUGGGGCCCCGCGGAGACCCCCCGAAUGAGGUGGGGAAUCCUCGAAUACACGGGAAAUGGGGGAAGGUGUGGAGAAUUUUUUUCCCGUUUGCAAUUCAGGGUCGGGGACGGGGAAUAUAUUCCCCGACCUCGACCUCGACCCCACCCCGUGUCCUCAUCUCACCUUGAAUUUUAUAUAUAAAUUAUAAAUUUAUAAUAUAUAUAUUUAUUAAUAUUAAUAUUGUAGACUUUGUUAGGAUAAUUAUGAAGUUUUUAAUUAUUUAAGUUUAAGGCUUUAUUACUUUAAUUCCUUAGAUGUUGUAACAUUUAAGAUAGAAUGUUCUAAUUGUUGCAUUAUAAUUUAUAAAAAUUAUGAGAAUUUAGCAUUUUAAUUAUAUCUUUUUAAAUUGAAUGUGUAUAAUUGUUUUUAUUACCAAAAUCGACAAUAUUUUAUUUAAAUGAAAGUUGUAUUGGAUAUGUUUAAGGAAUUCUUAAAAAUAUAUAUUUAAUUGAAAUAAAAAAUUGUUAGAGCAAAAUGAUGGCAGGAAAAUUUUCCCGACAAAGAACCCCAAUCCCCACGAGGAAUCUUGGCCCCGUUCCCCGCGGGGAUGGGGAUGGGGACGGGGAGGGCUUCCCCGUCCCCGUCCUGCUCUGUGGACAUCUCUAACGGUAAUGGUAACGACAAUGGUAACAACAAAUGUACAAAUUCAUAAUUUUCAUACUGUUACAAUAACAAAAUUUUAAACGAUAACAAUAAUGGUAACGGUAAAGGUAGUAGGUCCCACGCAGUUUUCAACUGCAAUCAAAUUGAACCCUCUUUAUUCCUCAAACAAAUUACAUGAUUUGAUUACAAAUUUCAAGGCGAGCCUCAUAUCUCAUUACGUUUACAGAAGCAGGUAAACAACAACAAAAGUAAUCAACUGAGGCUCAUUUUUUAAAUUACCAUUGUUUUAUUAGUUUUCAACUGAUGUAAAUGUGGCCUAAAGUCGUAUUUAUUUUAGGAGAAACGUAAUUCAUCUAUGAUAAUCUAAAAAGUGACUUCCAUUUUAUUACGUUUAUUGUUGUUUAUCCAUGUUCUAAAAUUGUAAUGAAAUGUAGGGCCCACAGUCAAAUCUACAAUCAACUAAUGCAAUUUGAUUGUGGAGAUGAGGGUGAUCAAUCUGAUUGUGUUUGAAAAUUAUGUGAAACUCACUAUAAUUGACCCUAAACGGUAACAGUAAUGGUAACAGUAAGAAGACAAUCAAUGCAAUGUAAACAACUUCAAUCAUAAUCAAAUUACGUUUUGUCAAUUUAUGCAAAUAUUUUAUUUUAUUUGCUAUAAUUAUUCUAUUAGAUUCUUUCCUGCUCUGUCAAUAUUUUCCUUAUUUCAUUAAUUUUGUAUUCUAUUUAAAUUAGGGUCUUGUACUCUUGUAAUAAUGAGAAAUAGUGCAAAAAUAAUACUUUUUACAUAUAGUAUCAGAGUAGAAAAAAUAUACUAAAACCCUAAAAACCCUAAUUUUUUAAAAACCUUAGUUGUGUCGUCAUCAUCGUCGCUGCCGUCAAGCCUUUCCUUGUUCAUUGUCGUCGCUAGUCCCUCAAAGCCUCGUCGGACAUCAAAUCUCCAUCAGAGCCAUCGACCGUUGAAGCUGGUUUUGCUUCUUCGUUUGCGUAGUUUUGCUUCUUCGCAAUUUUUUUCUUCUACCUCUGUUUAAAUAACCAUUGGCGACCAGUCAUCGAUCAAGCCUGCAGCUGUCGCCACCGGUUGCCGCCUCUCACUACCGCCACUGUUUUCUCUUCAUUUUCCCCCUUUUUUCUUCCCAUAUCUACUAUUUUUUUCCUCUUUGGGUUUGUUUUUUCAACAAUAUGUCAGAUACUAAGGCACCUAUCGCUAAAGUUUGCAACAAUCGUAUCCAUCCAACCAGUCCCAUUGUCCAAAUAACCAUUAUCAACUUAAUGGGGAUAAUUUUCUUCGUUAGUCUCAAAGGGUUCAGAUGUAUAUUCGUCAACAAGGGAAGAUUAGUUACAUCACGAGAGAAAAAACUGCCCUUAGUCCAGAUGACCUAUUAUUUGCCAGGUGGGACGCUGAAUCCAUAGUUAUGACUUGGCUUGUCAAUUCUAUGGUUGAAGACGUCGGCUUUAACUACAUGUGUUACUCUACUGCGAGCGAAUUAUGGGAUAGUGUAACUUAGAUGUAUUUUGAUUUGGGCAACCAGUCACAAGUGGAACCUGAAAUUGGGUGAUAUACGAAAAGGCGCUAACUCAGUGGAGUGGAAGUCUAUAGAGGACCAAAAGCACUAUAGAAAAUUCGUUGAAGAUGGUUGUAUUUACAAGUUCCUUGUUGGCUUCAAUGUUGAGUUUGAUGAAGUUAGAGGUAAAAUACCUAGAAAAACCACUCUUCCAACUACUAAUGAUGUUUUUUUUUAAGUUCGUAGGGAAGAAAUUCGCAGGAAUGUUAUGAUUUUUUUUAAAAAAAACUAUUGAUUCAGUUGAAUACUUUGCAUUGGUGACUGAAAAUAUUGCAAUGAAGGCUUCUGAUCAAUCAAAUAAGCCACAUGAAAAGCCUCGUGUCUGGUGCGACCAUUAUAAUAAACUUCGACAUACGCAUGAAACUUGUUGGAAACUUUAUGGAAAGCCUACGAAUUGGAAAAGUUCUAAGCAAGGUGAGUGAAAUUCUCAUCAGCAUACCUCUAAUGCUAAUGUUGUUGACUCCAACAUGUUUAGUAAAGAGAAAAUUGAUCAAAUUCUAACGUUGCUAAAGACCACAUCAUCAUAGUAAUCCUAGUGUUUCAUUGGCACAAUCAGGUACUUGUCCUCAAGCUCUUUCUUUGCUUAAUUUAUCUUCAUGGAUUAUUGAUUCUGGAGCCUUUGAUCAUAUGACUAGUUCCUUUUGCCUCUUAUUUAUUUGAAUCCUAUUCUCCUGUGUAUUGCAACGAAAAAAUUUGCAUUGCUGAUAAUAGCUUCACCUCUAUUGCAGGAAAAUGAACUACUCCUUUGACUAAAAACUUACAUUAUGUUAUGUCCUUCAUGUUCCAAAAUUAGCUUGUAAUUUGUUAUCUUAUAGUAAAAUCUCUAGGGAUGCUAACUAUCUUGUUAUCUUUUGUGACACUCAU